rfam:Ipomoea nil DNA, scaffold: scaffold2086, cultivar: Tokyo-kokei standard.
GCUUGUCUAGCUCAAUUAGUAGAGUGUAAAGCUUUUAACCUUGUUGUUGUGGGUUCAAGCCCCACGAUGGGUG